UACAGAGGUCUCAAGCGUUGUUCGGAUUCAUUGGGCGUAAAGGGCGCGUAGGCGGUCAGCACAAGUCAGUUGUGAAAUCUCCGGGCUUAACUCGGAAAGGUCAACUGAUACUGUGCGACUAGAGUGCGGAAGGGGCAACUGGAAUUCUCGGUGUAGCGGUGAAAUGCGUAGAUAUCUGGAGGAACACCGGUGGCGAAGGCGGCAUCCUGGACCAACACUGACGCUGAGUGAGCGAAAGCCAGGGGAGCAAACGGG
rnacentral:rRNA from 1 species